rnacentral:rRNA from 1 species
CCGUAGCCCAAGAGAUCGGGAUAACACCUGGAAACAGAUGCUAAUACCGGAUAACAACAGAUGAUGCCUAUCAACUGUUUAAAAGAUGGUUCUGCUGUCACUCUUGGAUGGACCUGCGGUGCAUUAGCUAGUUGGUAGGGUAACGGCCUACCAAGGCGAUGAUGCAUAGCCGAGUUGAGAGACUGAUCGGCCACAUUGGGACUGAGACACGGCCCAAACUCCUACGGGAGGCAGCAGCU